GAGCCGAGCAUCUCCACAAACAUGUCUGAAGAUGAGAAUGAGGAGGAGACGUCCACCGCAGAGCUGGACUCACGGAUGUCUGAUCACUGAGGAAGAGAGUCGUGAGGAAGAGGCACUCCGACCCAGAAAGUUUCCUUCAAUGAGAUGCGCAGCUACAAGAAACGGCAGAUGAGUCGCAUCUACCCCAAAGGAGGCCGAGUGGACUCCAGUAAUUAUAUGCCACAGAUCUUCGGUUGCCAGAUGGUAGCA